rnacentral:rRNA from 1 species
CACGUAGGGGGCAAGCGUUGUCCGGAUUUAUUGGGCGUAAAGAGCUCGUAGGCGGCUCAGUAAGUCGGGUGUGAAACCUCCAGGCUCAACCUGGAGACGCCACCCGAUACUGCUGUGGCUUGAGUCCGGUAGGGGAGCGUGGAAUUCCUGGUGUAGCGGUGAAAUGCGCAGAUAUCAGGAGGAACACCAGUGGCGAAGGCGGCUCACUGGCCCGAUACUGACGCUGAGGAGCGAAAGCCAGGGGAGCAAACAGG